rnacentral:rRNA from 1 species
UACGUAGGGGGCGAGCGUUGUCCGGAGUUACUGGGCGUAAAGCGCACGCAGGCGGUCUGCUAAGUUUGGAGUGACAGUUGGUGGCUUAACUGCCAAAGUGCUUCGAAAACUGACAGACUUGAGGGCUUCAGAGGGACACGGAAUUCCGGGUGGAGUGGUGAAAUGCGUAGAUAUCCGGAGGAAUACCAAAGGCGAAGGCAGUGUCCUGGCUGGCAACUGACGCUGAGGCGCGAAAGCUAGGGGAGCGAACAGG